UCGGCGGCAACCGAAAAGCCUUAACAGAGUAGGUA
rfam:Rheinheimera nanhaiensis E407-8 DNA, contig: CTG002.